CUUCGGGCUCCGCGCGACGGAUGCUCGCGAACCCCGCCAGGUCCGGAAGGAAGCAACGGUAACGAGCCUCUCCGUGUGCUGCGGAUAACCCGAAGUCU
rnacentral:SRP_RNA from 1 species